rnacentral:rRNA from 1 species
AACGCUGGCGGCACGCUUAACACAUGCAAGUCGAACGAGAGAAGAGAAGCUUGCUUUUCUGAUCUAGUGGCGGACGGGUGAGUAACACGUGAGCAAUCUGCCUUUCAGAGGGGGAUACCGAUUGGAAACGAUCGUUAAUACCGCAUAACAUAAUUGAACCGCAUGAUUUGAUUAUCAAAGAUUUAUCGCUGAAAGAUGAGCUCGCGUCUGAUUAGCUAGUUGGUAAGGUAACGGCUUACCAAGGCGACGAUCAGUAGCCGGACUGAGAGGUUGAUCGGCCACAUUGGGACUGAGGCACGGCCCAGACUCCUACGGGAGGCAGCAGUGGGGAAUAUUGCACAAUGGAGGAAACUCUGAUGCAGCGAUGCCGCGUGAGGGAAGAAGGUUUUAGGAUUGUAAACCUCUGUCUUCAGAGACGAAAAAAGACGGUACCUGAGGAGGAAGCUCCGGCUAACUACGUGCCAGCAGCCGCGGUAAUACGUAGGGAGCGAGCGUUGUCCGGAAUUACUGGGUGUAAAGGGAGCGUAGGCGGGAUCGCAAGUCAGAUGUGAAAACUAUGGGCUUAACCCAUAAACUGCAUUUGAAACUGUGGUUCUUGAGUGAAGUAGAGGUAAGCGGAAUUCCUAGUGUAGCGGUGAAAUGCGUAGAUAUUAGGAGGAACAUCAGUGGCGAAGGCGGCUUACUGGGCUUUAACUGACGCUGAGGCUCGAAAGCGUGGGGAGCAAACAGGAUUAGAUACCCUGGUAGUCCACGCCGUAAACGAUGAUUACUAGGUGUGGGGGGACUGACCCCUUCCGUGCCGCAGCAAACGCAAUAAGUAAUCCACCUGGGGAGUACGACCGCAAGGUUGAAACUCAAAGGAAUUGACGGGGGCCCGCACAAGCAGUGGAGUAUGUGGAUUAAUUCGAAGCAACGCGAAGAACCUUACCAGGUCUUGACAUCGUAUGCAUAGCUCAGAGAUGAGUGAAAUCUCUUCGGAGACAUAUAGACAGGUGGUGCAUGGUUGUCGUCAGCUCGUGUCGUGAGAUGUUGGGUUAGGUCCCGCAACGAGCGCAACCCUUACUGUUAGUUGCUACGCAAGAGCACUCUAGCAGGACUGCCGUUGACAAAACGGAGGAAGGUGGGGAUGACGUCAAAUCAUCAUGCCCCUUAUGACCUGGGCCUCACACGUACUACAAUGGCUGUCAACAGAGGGAUGCAAAGCCGCGAGGUGGAGCGAACCCCUAAAAGCAGUCUUAGUUCGGAUUGUAGGCUGCAACCCGCCUACAUGAAGUCGGAAUUGCUAGUAAUCGCAGAUCAGCAUGCUGCGGUGGAUACGUUCCCGGGCCUUGUACACACCGCCCGUCACGCCAUGGGAGUCGGUAACACCCGAAGCCUGUAGUCUAACCGCAAGGAGGACGCAGUCGAAGGUGGGAUUGAUGACUGGGGUGA